AUUGAUUGCGUUACCGAGCAGGAAUUGGAGCUGUGGAUUUAAAUAUGUUGGAGGAGGAAAAACUAUUGUACCAGGUGUUGAAGAUUAAGAAAUGCGAUGAAAGAUUACGAAAAGAGCGUUUGAUUAUGUUUAUUGUAUUAUGAGCAGGAGUUAGCGGUGUGAAUUUAUAUAUGAGGAAGAAAAAUUGUACCUGGUGUUGAAGAUAGAAAAAUGAGAUCAAAUAAUGGAGAAAAAUUACGAAAGAAUGGUUUGAUCGUUUUAAUUUAAUGCGUUACUGUGCAAGAAUUGGAGCUGUGGAUUUAAAUAUGAGGGAGGAGGAAGAAAUUGUACCUGGUGUUGAAGAUGAAAAAAGGAGAUAAAAGAAAGAAGAAAAAUGAAGAAAAGAGCGUUUGAACAGGUUUAUUGUAUUACUGAACAGGAAUUGGAAGUGUGAAUUUAAUAUGUGGGCGUGAAAAAAAAAGUACCAGGUAUUGUAAAAUGAAAAAGGGGAUAAAAUAAUGAAGAAAAUGACGAAAGAAGGAUUUGAUGAAGUUAGUGUGAACGUAAGAGAGCAGAAAUUGAAGGUGUUGAUUAAAACAUCUAUAAGCAUAAAACAAAAUGUACAAGGUGUUGAAGAUAUAAAUAAGGAGAUAAAAUAAUGAAGAAAAUUUACGAAAGAAGCAUAUUAUCAGGUGAAUAUGAACGUAAGUGAGCAGGAAUUGAAGGUGC